UCUUCGGAAAGCGAGUACAGUGGCGAACGGGUGAGUAACACGUUGGUGACCUGCCCCGAGGUGGGGGACAACUGUGGGAAACCACAGCUAAUACCCCAGAUGUUGAGGAGUCUAGACGCCCUUAACUAAAGUUCCGACGCCUCGGGAGGGGCCUGCGGGCUAUCAGCUUGUUGGUGAGGUAAUGGCUCACCAAGGCUAAGACGGCUAGGGGGCGUGAGAGCGCGAUCCCCCACAAUGGGACUGAGACACGGCCCAUACUCCUACGGGAGGCAGCAGUGAGGAAUAUUGCACAAUGGGGGCAACCCUGAUGCAGCAACGCCGCGUGAACGAUGAAGGCCUUCGGGUCGUAAAGUUCUUUUCUAGGGGACGAUAAUGACGGUACCUUAGGAAUAAGUCCCGGCUAACUACGUGCCAGCAGCCGCGGUAAAACGUAGGGGGCGAGCGUUAUCCGGAUUUAUUGGGCGUAAAGCGCGCGUAGGCGGCGCGGUAAGUUGGACGUGAAAGCUCCCGGCUCAACUGGGAGAGGUCGUUCAAAACUACCGUGCUUGAGGUUGGAAGAGGAGAGUAGAAUUCCCGGUGUAGUGGUGGAAUGCGUAGAUAUCGGGAGGAAUACCAGUGGCGAAAGCGACUCUCUGGUCCACACCUGACGCUGAGGUGCGAAAGCGUGGGUAGCGAACGGGAUUAGAUACCCCGGUAGUCCACGCUGUAAACGAUGGAUACUAGGUGUAGGGGGUCACUUAACCCCUCUGUGCCGGAGCAAACGCGUUAAGUAUCCCGCCUGGGGACUACGGCCGCAAGGCUAAAACUCAAAGGAAUUGACGGGGGCCCGCACAAGCAGCGGAGCGUGUGGUUUAAUUCGAUAUACGCGAAGAACCUUACCUGGGUUGAACUACGUGGUAGUAGAGAAGCGAAAGUGGAUCGACCCUUCGGGGAGCCUCGAUAGGUGCUGCAUGGCUGUCGUCAGCUCGUGUCGUGAGAUGUUGGGUUAAGUCCCGCAACGAGCGCAACCCUUGUCCCUAGUUGCCAGCGGUUCGGCCGGGAACUCUAGGGAGACCGCCAGCGACAAGCUGGAGGAAGGUGGGGACGACGUCAAGUCAGCAUGGUCUUUAUGUCCAGGGCUACACACACGCUACAAUGGCUGGUACAACAGGUUGCCACAUCGCGAGAUGGAGCUAAUCCCUAAAGCCAGUCUCAGUUCGGA
rnacentral:rRNA from 1 species